UACAGAGGGUGCGAGCAUUAAUCGGAUUUACUGGGCGUAAAGGGCGCGUAGGCGGGAAUGAAAGUCAGAUGUGAAAUCCCAAAGCUCAACUUUGGAACUGCAUCCGAAACUUCAUUUCUUGAGGGCAGGCGGAGAAGGCGGAAUUCCACGUGUAGCGGUGAAAUGCGUAGAUACGUGGAGGAACACCGGUGGCGAAGGCGGCCUUCUAGCUUGUUCCUGACGCUAAUGCGCGAAAGCAAGGGGAGCAAACAGGAUUAGAUACCCUGGUAGUCCUUGCCGUAAACGAUGCAUACUUGGUGUAGCCGGUUUCAACCCCGGCUUUGCCGAAGCUAACGCGUUAAGUAUGCCGCCUGGGGAGUACGCCCGCAAGGGUGAAACUCAAAAGAAUUGACGGGGACCCGCACAAGCAGUGGAGCAUGUGGUUUAAUUCGAUGCAACGCGAAGAACCUUACCCAGGCUUGACAUGUAGCGGACCGCUCUGGAAACAGAGCUUCUCGUAUGAGCUGCUACACAGGUGCUGCAUGGCUGUCGUCAGCUCGUGCCGUGAGGUGUUGGGUUAAGUCCCGCAACGAGCGCAACCCUUAUCGUUAGUUGCCAGCACGUAAUGGUGGGAACUCUAACGAGACUGCCUAGGUUAACUAGGAGGAAGGUGAGGAUGACGUCAAGUCAGCAUGGCCCUUAUGUCUGGGGCGACACACGUGCUACAAUGGUCGGUACAGAAGGCAGCAAAACCGUAAGGUGAAGCAAAUCCCUAAAACCGAUCCCAGUUCGGAUUGCAGUCUGCAACUCGACUGCAUGAAGUUGGAAUUGCUAGUAAUGGCGUGUCAGCCAUAACGCCGUGAAUACGUUCCCGGGUCU
rnacentral:rRNA from 1 species